rnacentral:rRNA from 1 species
GACGAACGCUGGCGGCGUGCUUAACACAUGCAAGUCGAACGAUGAAGCUGGAGCUCGCUCCGGUGGAUUAGUGGCGAACGGGUGAGUAACACGUGAGCAAUCUGCCCUUGACUCUGGGAUAACUGCGGGAAACUGUAGCUAAUACCGGAUGCGAGGCUCGAAGGCAUCUUCGGGUCUGGAAAGAAUUUCGGUCAAGGAUGAGCUCGCGGCCUAUCAGCUUGUUGGUGAGGUAAUGGCUCACCAAGGCGACGACGGGUAGCCGGCCUGAGAGGGUGACCGGCCACACUGGGACUGAGACACGGCCCAGACUCCUACGGGAGGCAGCAGUGGGGAAUAUUGCACAAUGGGCGAAAGCCUGAUGCAGCAACGCCGCGUGAGGGAUGAAGGCCUUCGGGUUGUAAACCUCUUUUAGCAGGGAAGAAGCGAAAGUGACGGUACCUGCAGAAAAAGCACCGGCUAACUACGUGCCAGCCGCCGCGGUAA